rnacentral:rRNA from 1 species
GAUGAACGCUGGCGGCGUGCCUAAUACAUGCAAGUCGAGCGAACGGACGAGAAGCUUGCUUCUCUGAUGUUAGCGGCGGACGGGUGAGUAACACGUGGAUAACCUACCUAUAAGACUGGGAUAACUUCGGGAAACCGGAGCUAAUACCGGAUAAUAUUUUGAACCGCAUGGUUCAAAAGUGAAAGACGGUCUUGCUGUCACUUAUAGAUGGAUCCGCGCUGCAUUAGCUAGUUGGUAAGGUAACGGCUUACCAAGGCAACGAUGCAUAUCCGACCUGAGAGGGAGGUCGGCCACACUGGAACUGAGGACCGGUCCCGACUCCCACGGGAGGCAGCCGUAGGGAAUCUUCCGCAAUGGGCGAAAGCCUGACGGAGCAACGCCGGGUGAGGGAUGAAGGUCUUCGGAUCGUAAAACUCUGUUAUUAGGGAAGAAAAUAUGUGUAAGUAACUGUGCACAGCUUGACGGUACCUAAUCAGAAAGCCACGGCUAACUACGUG